rnacentral:rRNA from 1 species
UAUUGGUCAAUAGCCUAACGGCUGAACCAGCAACUUGGAGGAAUGUAUAGCGAAAGCUAGUUGCAUUAAAUUCGAUUAAUUCGAAGUUAAUGCAUCAUCGACUAUGUCGAAUAAAGUUCUAGGUAGAGUUAUGAUAAUGACAUUUUCUAUCUAUGUGUCUUGACCAAAUCACGUGCCAGCAGUCGCGGUAAUACGUGGAAGACUAGUGUUAUUCAUCUUUAAUAGGUUUAAAGGGUACUUAGACGGUAAAUUUAGCCCAAAUAAAAACAAAGGGUACUAAUUAUACUAGAGUUAUUAUAGAGGAGGGUGUGUACUAGUGGUGUAGAGAUGAAAUUCUGUCAUACCAUUAUGACAGGCAACGGCGAAAGCAACCUUUAGAUAAAAACUGACGUUAAAGGACGAAGGCUUUGUGUCACCAACAGGAUUAGAUACCCAAGCAGUCUUAGCAGACAAUUAUGAAUGCCAUAGAUAAGAAAGGAUGUAUUUUUGUCUAUAAAUGAAAGUGUAAGCAUUCCACCUCAAGAGUAAUGUGGCAACGCAGAAACUGAAAUCAUUAGACCGUUUCUGAAACCAGUAGUGAAGUAUGUUGUUUAAUUAGAUGGUCCGCAAAAAACCUUACCACAAUUUGUAUAUUAUUAGCUUAAUACAAGAGUUGCACGGCUGUCUUCAGUUAAUGUCGUGAGAUUUUGGUUAGUUCCAUUAAAUUAACGUAAACCCUUACUUUAUUUAUAUUAUAAAGUAGUUCACCGCUAUAUUGGAUAUGAUAAGA